GAUGAACGCUGGCGGCGUGCCUAACACAUGCAAGUCGAACGAAGCAAUUAAAGGAAGUUUUCGGAUGGAAUUUGAUUGACUGAGUGGCGGACGGGUGAGUAACGCGUGGAUAACCUGCCUCACACUGGGGGAUAACAGUUAGAAAUGACUGCUAAUACCGCAUAAGCGCACAGUACCGCAUGGUACGGUGUGAAAAACUCCGGUGGUGUGAGAUGGAUCCGCGUCUGAUUAGCCAGUUGGCGGGGUAACGGCCCACCAAAGCGACGAUCAGUAGCCGACCUGAGAGGGUGACCGGCCACAUUGGGACUGAGACACGGCCCAAACUCCUACGGGAGGCAGCAGUGGGGAAUAUUGCACAAUGGGCAAAAGCCUGAUGCAGCGACGCCGCGUGAGUGAAGAAGUAUUUCGGUAUGUAAAGCUCUAUCAGCAGGGAAGAAAAUGACGGUACCUGACUAAGAAGCCCCGGCUAACUACGUGCCAGCAGCCGCGGUAAUACGUAGGGGGCAAGCGUUAUCCGGAUUUACUGGGUGUAAAGGGAGCGUAGACGGCGAAGCAAGUCUGAAGUGAAAACCCAGGGCUCAACCCUGGGACUGCUUUGGAAACUGUUUUGCUAGAGUGUCGGAGAGGUAAGUGGAAUUCCUAGUGUAGCGGUGAAAUGCGUAGAUAUUAGGAGGAACACCAGUGGCGAAGGCGGCUUACUG
rnacentral:rRNA from 1 species